rnacentral:rRNA from 1 species
UACGUAGGGUGCAAGCGUUGCCCGGAUUUAUUGGGCGUAAAGGGCGCGUAGGCGGCUCGGCACGUCCGUUGUGAAAUCGCCCGGCUCAACUGGGCGGGGUCAGCGGAUACGGCCGAGCUUGAGCAAGCUAGGGGGCAAUGGAAUUCCCGGUGUAGUGGUGGAAUGCGUAGAUAUCGGGAGGAACACCAGUGGCGAAGGCGGCGACCUGGGUAGAUACUGACGCUGAGGUGCGAAAGCGUGGGGAGCAAACAGG